rnacentral:misc_RNA from 1 species
AACGCAAAUUGCACUCUCUGGUAUUCCGGAGAGUAUGCCUGUUUGAGGGUUGGUUUAAAUAACAAUCGAUAUGUUGCUUUCUUGUGACAUUUCGGAGUUGGGUCAUCUUAAUCUUAACUUUUAAGGGACCUAAAAUUGAUGUUCUUGCGCAUCUUGACAUGUAUAAUUUUUUUUAUCUCGUCACCGGAUGCCAGGGUAUUAUUAGGUGUGACUAUGCUAAGUGGUUUCAUGCCUAUAGGAUUCUUGAUUUCAACCUCAAAUCAGGUAAGGAUACCCGCUGAACUUAA